CUGGCGGCCGCCUACACAUGCAAGUCGAACGCAGUAGCAAUACUGAGUGGCAGACGGGUGAGUAACAUGUGGGAAUCUGCCUUGUGGUUCAGGACAACAUUGGGAAACCGAUGCUAAUACUGGAUAAGCCCUUACGGGGAAAGUUUUAAUGCCAUAAGAUGAGCCCGCAUUUGAUUAGUUAGUUGGUGAGGUAAUGGCUCACCAAGACAAUGAUCAAUAGCUGAUCUGAGAGGAUGAUCAGCCACACUGGGACUGAGACACGGCCCAGACUCCUACGGGAGGCAGCAGUGGGGAAUCUUGCACAAUGGAGGAAACUCUGAUGCAGCGAUGCCGCGUGAGUGAAGAAGGCCUUUGGGUUGUAAAGCUCUUUUGUAGGGGAAGAUAAUGACUGUACCCUAAGAAUAAGGUCCGGCUAACUUCGUGCCAGCAGCCGCGGUAAUACGAAGGGACCUAGCGUAGUUCGGAAUUACUGGGCGUAAAGCGCGCGUAGGCCGUUGAGUUAGUUAAUUGUGAAAUCCCAAAGCUUAACUUUGGAACUGCAAUUAAAACUGCUCGACUAGAGUUUGAUAGAGGAAAGCGGAAUACAUAGUGUAGAGGUGAAAUUCGUAGAUAUUAUGUAGAACACCAGUUGCGAAGGCGGCUUUCUGGAUCAACACUGACGCUGAGGCGCGAAAGUAUGGGUAGCAAGAGGAUUAGAUACCCUCGUAGUCCAUACCAUAAACGAUGAUUGCUAGAUGUUGGAAAUUUAUUUUCAGUAUCGCAGCUAACGCAUAAGCAAUCCGCCUGGGGA
rnacentral:rRNA from 1 species